UCCACCCUCAAGCCAGCUGAUUCCUUUCUGAUAUCACUGGUGAAGGAAAAAUAGCAGGUAGCACUGAUAGCAGCUGCUACCUGUAUGCCUGUGACUAGGCAGGAGAGAAUAUGAAGCAUGCAUCCACAGCUGUUUCCAAAUCGACCUGCCACAUGACUGCCAUUAGAUGCACAGCACGAUGGCAACGCUGCCCUGUGGCAUGUAGAAAAGGAAAUAAUGAAAUCAUGCCUCAUGUGGGAGCUUGCAGAGCUGUUGAAGAGGGAUCUUCCCCUUCUGGCAUGUGACCGCUGGUGUGACUGAAUCACAAAUGUCUGAGCUAAAAGGAAGAGCUUCUGCUGAAGCUGACCCUCAGCUGCAAGCAGUGCGUGCCUCUCUGGCUGCAGUACGCACGUGGUCUUGCCAUUAGGUGGGACUGUGAAUGAGCAUAGGCUGCUUACUCUCUCUGCAUGAGACAGCUUCUUCCAGGCUUCAGAGGCAGCUGAAUGUAAGAACUUUCACUGUCUAUGGAACCCUACUAGGUAAGGACUCCAUGACUCAGACUUAAUGAGCUGUUCCGUGGAUGAUACAUGAGUCAGAAAAAAACCCACUGCAUUCUCCCCUAGAUGCAUCUCUCCCAACAGUAACAGCUACAGACGUCCUGAGACUUUCAAAAGAGAUGUGUAACAGCAUUAUCCUGAACAAGCUUCACUACGGAUAAUUGCUCCGUGUUGGUCCGCACUGUGCCUCUCCUUGCCUGGACUUUGCAAUGCGUACCCAUGUAGAACCAAAGCUGUCCCUGUGGUACCCGUCCUCCCCGUGAGACAGAAAAGCCCAUGUGCCAUCACAACUCUGGAGAGCAAGGCAGAAAGGAAGGUGAAAGAUGUAAACCGAGUGAUUUGUUGCUUUUCAGUGCAUCUUUUCUGCCGGCCUGCAUGUGUUCUGGGCUUCUAGCAGGAAUCUCCAUGAAUCUCCCUCAUUAACUCCAAUUUCUUCUUGGCAGCUCCUACUCCACUGUCAGAAAUGUCCUGGAUGAGAACUGCAAUGAUUGUUUGAAGGAUGUUGUAUUGACAGUUUUUAGAUCCUUAAUAUAAAUUAAUCCAGACUAAUUAACAUUAGAGGAAAGAGAUUAUUAGGGCCAGAAGAGGCUUCUGAAUACAUUUCUCUCCCUUGCACCACUAUGAAAACUACACCCCUGUGUACCAGUUAUGAAAACUACUUUUGGUUUCCACGAGGAUGUGGUCCAUGGAAGGGGACUCCUUGGUAGCCUGAUAUUCAAGGUGGGCCCAGUAGGCACUCUGAAAAGGGAGUUUCUUAUAAAGUUUCUCUAAAAUCAAAAAACCCAAAAUGACUAGUUGUUCAAAUAUUCUGACCAUAGUCUUUGAGUGGUGUGACUGAAAUCAUGAUACUGCAAAAGAGGAUUCUGGUAAAA